AUUGAACGCUGGCGGCAGGCCUAACACAUGCAAGUCGAACGAGUGGCGGACGGGUGAGUAAUGUCUGGGAAACUGCCUGAUGGAGGGGGAUAACUACUGGAAACGGUAGCUAAUACCGCAUACCCUCAGAUGUGCCCAGAUGGGAUUAGCUAGUUGGUGGGGUAACGGCUCACCAGGGCGAAGAUCCCUAGCUGGUCUGAGAGGAUGACCAGCCACACUGGAACUGAGACACGGUCCGGAAUCCGAGGGGAGGCAGCAGUGGGGAAUAGUGCACAAUGGGGGCAAGCCUGAUGCAGCCAGGCCGCGUGUAUGAAGAGGGCGUUCGGGUUGUAAGGUAAUUUCAGCGGGGAGGCGUUACCCGAAGAAGAAGCACCGGCUAACUCCGUGCCAGCAGCCGCGGUAAUUC
rnacentral:rRNA from 1 species